GCAAACUCAAGAAAACUGAAUAAACUCAGCAGAACAGAAAAACCAAAGAGAAACAGAAAUAAAACUGCACCAGACUAUGCACAUGACCGAGACAAUACUGGAAUUGAAAAAUGAAGCUGGAAAUGACUCAANCAAAGGUAAUUCACCGUUUAAAAUGAAAGAAGAACAUGAACACACAAUGGAAAACACAAGAUCAGUGAUUGGAAUUAACAAAACAAGCAGAAAACAGAAUUAAAAGAACACUAAAACAGAGUGAUGAAAGGCACAUGACAGGAAUUAGAAUUUAAAACAGAAUUGAAUUAAGAGAUGGAAAAAAUGACUUAGCUAUGGAUGCGUGGACAACCAAAGCUCUGGAUACCACUUGAUGGAAGAAGGCUUCUGCUGAUUCUGGUGGUGGAAGAAUCAACCAGCUCGUCUUCUUGGAAGAAUGAACGCAGCGGAAUUAUGAUGAUGAUCGGAGGACGUAGUAACGUGUGGAAGCCACUCUAAAAAGGCGAUCGGUGGCUGGAAUGGAGAAGAUGUAAUGAUUUGGUGAUGAAGAUAAGGAUGAAGCAGUGGUUGGUGAUGGAGAUUAUGAAGCACACUUUCAAAUUGUGGUGUUGUGAAAAUUAGGAAGAGAAAUGGAGGCAGAGAAUUGCUGCUGAAAUGUAAUGCGUAUGGGUGGAGAUAUGCUAGGAAUGGAAGCCUAGCUAGGGAGAGAGGCUAGAGGAAACUCUCAAGCUCUCUCUCGGUGNCAAAGAAACAGCAGAUUUUCACAAAUCACCACUGUUGUAACGUUUAUGCAGUAAAAUGCACCAACUCACCACCCAAAUUCAGUUUUUCAUGGAUUCAAAAGUUGGACAGCAAAGAAAUGACUCAAGGCAGUGUAAUUACAAAGAACUAAGCUAGAAUUAAGGUGCUUAGCAUGACCAAACUCAAAUUACACAAUUCAAUUCAAUUGGCACGAUGAAAAACCAGAUUUCUCAAACUGAAACAGUGGAAUUCUUAAGGAUUUUAAGCAACCAAGCUAUGCAUAUUGCAUUUCAUUGCUUAUUCUGGUUUUCUGCACCUUAAGACACAUCCAACAAACUCAAACAAGUUUGUAUAAAACACCAGAAUCAAAAGAAAUUAACUGGAACAUAUUUGAAUUUUCCAAAACCAGAUUUGAAUUUCUUGAGCAGAAUUGAAACAGUAAUGAGAAUCAGAUUUGCUUUUGGUGCUUCAACUUAUAUCACCAAGGCUAGAUCAAGUCUUCAUUGCCUUAUUUGGUUGAUUUAAAGCUUUUCCAACACAGCAAACUCAAGAAAACUGAAUAAACUCAGCAGAACAGAAAAACCAAAGAGAAACAGAAAUAAAACUGCACCAGACUAUGCACAUGACCGAGACAAUACUGGAAUUGAAAAAUGAAGCUGGAAAUGACUCAANCAAAGGUAAUUCACCGUUUAAAAUGAAAGAAGAACAUGAACACACAAUGGAAAACACAAGAUCAGUGAUUGGAAUUAACAAAACAAGCAGAAAACAGAAUUAAAAGAACACUAAAACAGAGUGAUGAAAGGCACAUGACAGGAAUUAGAAUUUAAAACAGAAUUGAAUUAAGAGAUGGAAAAAAUGACUUAGCUAUGGAUGCGUGGACAACCAAAGCUCUGGAUACCACUUGAUGGAAGAAGGCUUCUGCUGAUUCUGGUGGUGGAAGAAUCAACCAGCUCGUCUUCUUGGAAGAAUGAACGCAGCGGAAUUAUGAUGAUGAUCGGAGGACGUAGUAACGUGUGGAAGCCACUCUAAAAAGGCGAUCGGUGGCUGGAAUGGAGAAGAUGUAAUGAUUUGGUGAUGAAGAUAAGGAUGAAGCAGUGGUUGGUGAUGGAGAUUAUGAAGCACACUUUCAAAUUGUGGUGUUGUGAAAAUUAGGAAGAGAAAUGGAGGCAGAGAAUUGCUGCUGAAAUGUAAUGCGUAUGGGUGGAGAUAUGCUAGGAAUGGAAGCCUAGCUAGGGAGAGAGGCUAGAGGAAACUCUCAAGCUCUCUCUCGGUGACCUUCAACAAGAAGAAUUUUCUGGACAAAAUCAACAGAAUUCAAUUCUUCAUUCAAAUCAAAGGUGUCCACAAUUUUGGAGAAGAGUGGGAUUUAUAGUAGCACCCAAGCUCUCUCACGUGAAUACAAGCAAUGCUGAUGAUCAACAGCGUGGAAUGGAUCAGCUGCCACGUGUUGGAGGUGUGGGAAGCGUGCAACAAGGCCUGGGUUGCCAGCUGUAGGCGUCACAUGUAAGGUGAUGUUUCAGUCGCUGGGCCUAAACCCUCUUCCGCUGGGCGCCGGAUUUCCUUCUUCUUCAGCCAAGUUGUUGGGUAGUGAUUCAAGUGGGCUUCCUAGAGUACCUUGCUAGUCAAUUGUAUAAUGCACCCUAGUGGAGAUUUGUUUCUCCACUCUUGAAGUUUCCUUGCUUCUUGAUUCAUCAAGCUUCUUUGGCUAGAUCCAUGAUCUCCUAGCUUUAUUAGACCUACAAAACACAUAUAAACAUAUUAAAGAGAAUCCUUCUAAGACUUAGAAAAAGAAAAUCAAGAAAGAGCUUUUAAAAGUCCUUCUUCACUUCCCUUUCUUAGCCUUAGCUUUAGUUGAUACUCCUUUGAAUGGAAUGCCCUCAAUGGGUUUCCAUCAG
rnacentral:lncRNA from 1 species